rnacentral:rRNA from 1 species
GGCGUGGAGGUUCGGUCCGCCGUUUCGGUGUGUCUCUGUCUUUCUGCGUCUUUCUGUCGGGGACGCGCUUCUGGCCUUAAUUGGCUGGGACGUGGAUUCGACGAGGUUACUUUGAAAAAAUUAGAGUGUUCAAAGCAAGCUAAAGCUCUGAAUACAUUAGCAUGGAAUAACGCGAGAGGACUCGGUCCUUAUUUUGUUGGUCUUCAAGGAUGGAGUAAUGAUUAAGAGGGACAGUCGGGGGCAUUCGUAUUUCAUUGCUAGAGGUGAAAUUCUUGGAUUUAUGAAAGACGAACUUCUGCGAAAGCAUUUGCCAAGGAUGUUUUCAUUGAUCAAGAACGAAAGUUGGGGGCUCGAAGAUGAUCAGAUACCAUCCUAGUCUCAACCAUAAACG